AUGCGAGUUACAUUUGACAAUCAUCACAGUAUAGUGGUGCUCCUGUGGAUGAUAGGAGAAGGAAUUACCAGUUUGCAAUACCUUGGAAAAUUAAAUAAGGAGUACCCCAGUUGCAAAGAGGCCCUGUUUGAGCAAGCUACACUCUAUGAUUCUGAAUGUUUUGCAUGGGUUCUAAUGGACACUAUUUGUGCCUAUUCAGAUAUUGGAGGGAGUGGACAUAUCAUUCACUGGUGUAAGUUGCUCGGUCAAUCAAAAAAAUUAUUCUUCAUGCUAUUCUUACCAGGACCAUUCUGUUGCACAAGAUUACAAUCAACUAGAGAUGUUUCGCAAGUUGAAUGA
rnacentral:rRNA from 1 species